AGUGAACGCUGGCGGUAGGCCUAACACAUGCAAGUCGAACGGCAGCACAGUAAGAGCUUGCUCUUACGGGUGACGAGUGGCGGACGGGUGCGGAAUACAUCGGGAUCUACUUUUUCGUGGGGGGUAACGUAGGGAAACUUACGCUAAUACCGCAUACGACCUACGGGUGACAGCAGGGGAUCUUCGGACCUUGCGCGUUUGAAUGGGCCGAUGUCGGAUUAGGUAGUUGGCGGGGUAAAGGCCCACCAAGGCGACGAUCCGUAGCUGGUCUGAGAGGAUGAUCAGCCACACUGGAACUGAGACACGGCCCAGACUCCUACGGGAGGCAGCAGUGGGGAAUAUUGGACAAUGGGCGCAAGCCUGAUCCAGCCAUACCGCGUGGGUGAAGAAGGCCUUCGGGUUGUAAAGCCCUUUUGUUGGGAAAGAAAAGCAGCAGGUUAAUACCCCGCUGUUCUGACGGUACCCUAAGAAUAAGCACCGGCUAACUUCGUG
rnacentral:rRNA from 1 species